GCGGAUUCUGAGCUUUCUCACCUCCAUUGAAGCAGCUUCGAGGGUUUGUCUGAAUUUACAAAUCUUGAUUCAACCCCAAAUUCUGACAAACCUGCAACGCUUCCGACCAAGACACCGUCACCUUUAACGACUUCCGGUACCGGCGCUUGAAAGGAUGUGGUCUAUACUGUAGAAGAAUCUGAUGAUGAGGAAGCUCCGGACAUAACUUACUGGGAAGCAAUUUCCUACUUGCUAUUUUGACCUUAUGGGUGUCAGUAUUAUCUGGAUAUCUCGUUGAUGCUAUACAGGAUGCAUCUGACUCGUGGAAUAUGCCCGUUGCUUUUAUUAGUGUGAUUCUACUUCAGAUUGUGGGA